rnacentral:rRNA from 1 species
CUGCCAGUAUUCAUAUGCUUGUCU